rnacentral:rRNA from 1 species
UGGGGAAUAUUGGACAAUGGGCGAAAGCCUGAUCCAGCCAUGCCGCGUGUGUGAAGAAGGUCUUCGGAUUGUAAAGCACUUUAAGUUGGGAGGAAGGGCAGUAACCUAAUACGUUGCUGUCUUGACGUUACCGACAGAAUAAGCACCGGCUAACUCUGUGCCAGCAGCCGCGGUAAUACAGAGGGUGCAAGCGUUAAUCGGAAUUACUGGGCGUAAAGCGCGCGUAGGUGGUUUGUUAAGUUGGAUGUGAAAUCCCCGGGCUCAACCUGGGAACUGCAUUCAAAACUGACUGACUAGAGUAUGGUAGAGGGUGGUGGAAUUUCCUGUGUAGCGGUGAAAUGCGUAGAUAUAGGAAGGAACACCAGUGGCGAAGGCGACCGCCUGGACUGAUACUGACACUGAGGUGCGAAAGCGUGGGGAGCAAACAGGAUUAGAUACCCCCGUAGUCCCUGAGCGGGCUGGCAAGGCGCAU